GACGAACGCUGGCGGCGUGCUUAACACAUGCAAGUGGAGCGACGAACCGGGCUUUUAGCCCGGGGCAGAGCCGCGAACGGGUGAGUAACACGUGGGUAACCCACCCCGAUGACCGGGACAACCCGAGGAAACUCGGGCUAAUACCGGAUGAGCUCGCACCUCAGGAGGGGUGCGAGGAAAGAUAGCUUCGGCCUUCGCAUCGGGACGGGCCCGCGGCCCAUUAGCUUGUUGGUGGGGUAACGGCCUACCAAGGCUGCGAUGGGUAGCUGGUCUGAGA
rnacentral:rRNA from 1 species